rnacentral:rRNA from 1 species
UACGUAGGGGGCUAGCGUUGUCCGGAUUUAUUGGGCGUAAAGAGCGUGUAGGCGGCCAGGUAGGUCUGCUGUGAAAACUCGAGGCUCAACCUCGAGACGUCGGCGGAAACCAUCUGGCUAGAGUCCGGAAGAGGAGAGUGGAAUUCCUGGUGGUAGCGGUGAAAUGCGCAGAUAUCAGGAAGAACACCCGUGGCGAAGGCGGCUCUCUGGGCCGGAACUGACGCUAAGGAGCGAAAGCGUGGGGAGCGAACAGG